GAAGGCAUCUAUAAUAUUAAUAAAAAAUCAACGCUUCAAUCUAGCUAAUAUUAUAGAGACAAUUAAUAAUUUUUAAUUGUUACAUUGAUCGAUUAUUCACAUAUUUUAAAUAUUACAUAGUUUUUUAUUUGUUAAAAUUAUAAUAAAAAUAUUCUCGCGAUACGUUGGUUGAGAACCACUGCUGUAAUCUAUAUUUAAAACGUAAUAGUUUUGAAUAUAUAAGAAAUUGGACAAAAUAUUUUUCAUAUAUCAUUAAAUAUUAUUUAAUACAUAGUAGAAAAAAAAUUAUAUUAUUUCUAUUUUAAAACAAAAAUAAAAUUUUUUUUUAUUUUAAAUAAAUCAAAAAUAUAUGUCCACUUAUAUAUCACAUCGAUAAAAAAGUAUAUAAUAUAUUCUUUGAUGUCAUAAAAUUUUAGUAAUUCUAGUUUUGUAUAUAAUUUUUACAUAUUAUCAGAUAAAAAAUUAAAAAUCGUUACUGUAUAAGAAAAUUGACGAAAGAAAUCGUCAAUCUUCUCGAAUUUCCUACCAUCAAUAUCUCAACAUCGAUACGACGCAUUAGCUCGAUUAUUCAAGCCACGCCAGGCGCCACGUCGAGUUGCCAGUAGCGACUUCUGAAUGCAUCUAUAGCCGAUGGAAACAAAAAUCGAGAAGGGUCCUUUUGCCCAUGAUCCACCCGAAGAAAAAGAACAAUAAAGAGGUCACGAUCCCGACAGGUACGAAACGAAUAGGUAUCCCUUUUGGCCGGGUGCCAUGACACGUCGAAUUUAGGAACACAGCUAUUCCUGUGUUGAUCCUUUUUUUAAAUCCCCCCUGCGACGGACAUUCCCUCGCUAAGCCGAGGAGAACAAAGUCCUACAUAUCUUCGAGAAGUAGGCGCAUGUUAUCGCCACUUGCAUUAACGCGUUGGCGCGAAUGGACGCUUGCAAGCUGAGUCAACAGACUACACGACUUGACUAAUUCUUUUCCACAAGGUAAAAUUUCAGCGUAGUCAGGAACACGCGCUCACACCGUGGGUGGGCGCCCUCUCGCGUUCGUGUUUCGAAAUUUCGUUGAAUUUGAAAUUCUAGUGAUUUUUGAUCGAAAAAAUGUGAUAUAUUCGGAAUCGUAAUAACCAUCGUCAAUAAAUUAAUCAAGAUUUGAUAAUUGAUCGAUAAUUGUUUAUUUGGUUCUUAUCUUGAAAAGAAAUUAGUGAAAUUAACAUUAGGUAAAUUGAUUAUCUAAGAAGAAUCGGUUGAACGCUAUGUGUUAAUGCCCAUUGAAAAAUAUGCAGAAGAAAAUCAUAUAAAAUAUGAUAUAGAAUGAAAGAUAUUGAAGAAAAAGAAUUUCUCAAGAGCAGAUCCUAUCGAGGAACAAAUAAUCAAAAUCCUCUCCAUCGUUUUCGUAAAUACAGUGAGGAAUAAACAAGAAUUACUAGGGACCGUUUUCUCUCUCAGGAAAAAGAGGUAUUUCUUCUGGUCAUAGAGCAGAUGUACACCAACCAACCGUGAACAUUACGAUAAAUGGUCUAUUCUUUGCGAAAUGAAAAAUCAAACGGGACUUAUUCCCCAGGCUCACGACCUUUUGCUGAACAAAACUAAGAAAAUAGAGAAGAUUUGUGAUCUUUUGAAAGAAGAUGAAUAUUGUGUUCCAUGAAAAACUUUUCAUAUAAUUUUCUUUGAAAAUAAUUUUUUGAUUAAUUUCAAUUUUUUUUUAUAUUUCCAAGAUUGAUGCAUAUGUAUUUCCUAAUCAAAAAUCAAAAGAUUUUCCACAGUAAUUAUCAACUCAAGAUUAUUGACGUUUCCACAUCGGAUAGUAAUCUAAUCUUGAAUCGUAGGUCAGAAUUUGUUGUUUUUCAUACGUGUUAAUAAACGUGUCAAGAUCCACCUUCAAGAUCCACCUAUUAUUAUCAAAGCCAGUGUUUCUCAAUUAUUUUCCCGGUUUUUCCAUUAGGUAAUCUAUAAUCUAUAUUUUUUUCAUUUUAAUGUGCAAUAUAUCAGAGAAUUGAUUUAAUUUCAUUGAAUUCUUGCACAAUAUCAAUGAAUUAACACUAUAAGAAAAAAAUUAUGGAUUAGUUUUUCAUUAUUUUACAAUUUUAAAUUAAACAGAAUAAUUAUACUUAUAAUUUGUCAAAUUUAUUUGUAAAAUAAACUUCAUGUUACUUCUUUCAUAUUAAAAUGAUAAAAGAUGGUCCCCUCGUAAUAUUAACCAUUAAGAGAUAUAAAUAUUGACGAUGUUUAUAUAUUAUGCCAUUCGGAUGUUAUUAUUUUGUAUCAUUAUCGAUAUCGCCGAUACAACCAUUCGUAAUGAAAAAAUUGUAUGUUUUUUCUUUAAUGGCCUUUACUCGCAUUGAGUAUAAACAUAAAUAGAAAUAGCAGAUACUAAAUCCAAACAAAACAGUCGGUGUUUAAGUGCAUCACUCAAUGAAUUUUCAAAUCUAAUUUUCUCCAAAAAAAUAGAAUCUUGUAUUCUACAUUUAUUUACAAAAUUAAAAAUUAUCAUUAUUUUUGAUUGCAUAAAUUGUUGAAUCUUAAAUUUUAUAUUUUGAGUUCACAGACUUUCUUAUCUUAUGACAUCAAUCAAAUUUUAACUUAAUCACACUCCUAUAUGAAAAUAUAUGAAGAAUAUAAAUCAAGAAUCAACGUGUUUUCCUUUUUUCAAGAAUCACAUGAUCGUUUCGUUUCAUGAAUUAUUCCCGUUUAACCUCUCUUAUGACGCAAGAAGCCAUAUUGUACGCGUACAUGAUGGAAACGAUUCUCGAGGAGAGAUUAAGGAACGAUCAAAGAAACAUUAGAGGAUUGGCAUAAUAAGGAGACAAAGAAUGGUUCACGAUAUCCUGGUGGCGACACAACAGAUGCCAGACGGAAGAUAGACGUUGGAGAGAAAAAAAAAAGGAAGAAAAAAAAAAAUUAAGGAUUUCCCGGGGAACACAGGCUGCUAUUGUCUCCUGAUCUUAACUCGAAAAUGAUCGGUACCUGAUCCCAACUUUCAACCAAUCAUAUCGUCAAGAUCUUUCUUUGGUUAUUCAGUCGAUGUUUUAAAUAUGUUGCUUUUCAUUUUUUUCCACGCGACUUUGAACGAAAUUUUAAAUAUUCACUAAAACAGAAAUAUAAAAAUAUUUAUAAUAAUAAGUUAAUUUUAAUUUUAUAGGAAAAGGAUAAUGAAAAAGAGAUAUACAUACAAUUGAUUUUGCAGUUAUCUUCAAAAUUAUAUUUUAUUCUUUGUUUUAUAUUCAAAUUAAAUUAUUCUUAAGAAAGAAAAACAAGGAAUAUACAUUAAAAGUAAUAAAAUAAGAAAUCGAGAAAAUCAUAUCGUUAUUUUGAUAUUUCAGGAGGUAUAUAGAAGCAUACAAAUUUAUAAAAAGUUGCAUUCUCUCCAUUUCGAAGAUCAAGCUAAAAAAUUCACAAGAACGAUUAGAUUAAUCUGUGCAACCGUGAUUCCAUGAAACACCCCCAGCGGCUCUACUCGAGGAUAUUAACGAUAAUACGGUACCAACUACUCUCUCUCUCUCUUCCUCUCUCUUCCCCCUUCCAUCCACUGAAUUCCCCAUCCUCCUUCUCGCAUGACACCCCACGGACCGAACUGCCGGCGUCGGCACGCUUUGAUCUCAAAGAACGCGGCGAACAGGUAGAAGAGACCGAGAAAAGGAUGGAGAAAGGAUGAAAAGGUUGGAGAAGAAAGACGGACGGUCAAAGACGAAGAUUCCACGAGGACCAAUGAGACCCCGAACCCGACUCUAAACUCGAGAAAAUAUGUUCCGAGUUUUUAGAUUGAGAUCCGCCGGAGAUAGCCCUUUCCCUUGAUCCUUCCACACACACACCCUCUCUCUCUCUCUCUCUAUCUAUCUGCCUAUUUCUCUCUCUGUUUCAAGCUCAUCUGGUCCUUGUCGCGCGGCUUACAUGGAACGCCGACAAGAGAUACCUCUACCCUUUGGCCCCACCGAGGAUCUUCGAUCUUUCAUUUAGAUUUGAUUUUGGUAUUCCACCAGCGAAGCAUCUUCGGCUUCAGAGGAAAUUUCCGAGAUCCCACUCGAAUAAAUAAUUUUCACCUAUUAAUUUAUAUAAUAUUUAGUAAAAAAAUGUACAUGUUUUUUCUAUUUUAACAAAUUUAGAAAUUAUUGUAAGAAAGGAUUAAUUUAGAAGCAUUCAACCAGCAUUGAUAUUCGAAUAUUUAAAUGAUUAAUUAUGCAAGACCAGAAUGAGUUAAGUAUUCGAACUAAUACAACAAAUUUUCUUCUUUCAGGUCGUUUAACCAAUUACGUAAUUUGUCUUCCAAGCAAUUCAGAUAUUCGACAUUCCAAGGAAUUAAUCACUAAGGUAAGAAAGAAUUAUUUUCCACGCUCCCUUAAAAAUUCAAUUCCCAAACGGAUCAAAGAUCCAUCUAACCUCUUUGUUAAUUUAUGGGAGGGUGACGAGCAGAAGGAGACGAGCCUCCAAGUUCACGGACCUCCGAGCAAGAAUUUACACGGCACCCGUGUGCGUUUGCGGCGUUCCGACUUUGCGCCGAGGCAAUGAAACACGGCAUAUAUAGAACGCGUGGCACUUUGCGUGUGGCUGCCACUACAGAAAUACCCUGUGAACGGAGCAGGGUGCAGGGUAUCGGUCUCUCGCGAGGACCGAGUAUAGGGUCUUCGCAGUCGGCCUUCGCAGCGGGGGUUGAAAUUCCCUGGUGGCUCGCCUCGCGGUACCGCGUCGUCUAACGUAGACGUCCUCGGCGCACAUUUUUAUUCGAUCGCGCUGUUGGGGGUUUACCAGUCGGCCGUGGUUCUGCUCUUUUUUUUUUUUCCAUCGAUACCCGCGCGAGCCUCGAGUGCCGUGAGAGAGGAAGAGUGCCGUGGCCUCUUGUCUUCUCUGCGAAAACCCACGUGAAUUCCGUGAAACCCCCGCGGUUACCUUCGAUGACCCUCGAGAGCCGCUUCGAUCCCCCCUCCCCCCCGUUCGAUCGAUCUACCAACAAACUUUUGCACGUAAGUGUUUCCUAGCCGAUCCUUUCCCACAAUUCUCACGAAAGGAAUGACCAAUCUCUCCCCGUCCAGUCGAAACCAGUCGACAACCUUUGUCUCACGGGGGAGAAGAGAGCUUGGACCACCUAAUUCGAGUGCAACCACCGGAUCCGUCUACUUAUUAAGCAAACUGGAACAACCCAUCGUCUGAAUGGCGAAAGAACCCUCUUUCUCUAACACCGGAUUAUUCCUCCGAGCUUUUCUCAAACGCAAGGGGGAGGGCGUUCCCGGCGUCUCGGUCAGGUAGUCGAACCAAUUAGAAUAAUUGUCGUCCCUCGAACGAUCUGGAGGAUCGCGUCACUCGCACGGAAUCCUCGAAAUCGAAUGGUAGUUGAGUGAGUGGUGUGGAGGGGGCCGCGGUGUGGUGACCUUGCGGGGUAACACGAGAGCGGCGACGAGGACGCCGCUGGGGAUGAACGACGUAUCCUUCGGUGAUUUAUCACGUUUCAGGAUGGAAUAUUAAUAUCGGUAUGGCGUGCGCCUCCGGUCCUUUUCCAGGCAUCACGAUCGUCCACGGCCGCGCACGACGAGCGUAGCGUGUACGUGUGUGUGCACACACACGUCUCUCUGGAUCACGAUGCACGCGCGCGCGCGCGCGCGCGCGCACACAUAUAAACCCAUAGGUAUUACGAACGGGACAGAGGAUAGCUACCGGUCACAGCAGGAGAGCACGCCGGGGGUCCUCUACCUCUCCGCCGACUUGAACCUCGCUACCGAGAAAGAAGCGAACUUUCGUUUUAUCUUCUCUUUUCUUUUUCCUCCCAGCCUCGCCGGCCUCUUCCUCCUCCGCGGUUUAUCCUUUGUUCAUCUUCUUCCAUUGCGGCUUCUUCCUCGUCUCGCUUCGUGUUUCUUCGGCUCCCUUCGCGGCGACGUGACGGCGCUACUGUCUGCUGAUUCGUCGAGCCCGCGCGGUCACGUGACCACUUUAUAAAGAACGCGGCACCGCUCACCGCUUCACUUGCCCGCUGCGCUUCCUUUCGCGAGGCUCCUCUGUAUCGUUUUCUUCUAUCGUUUGUACUCGAUGUUGUUUGAUAUUGCAUCGAUUAUCAAACGUUAUUGGAUUGUCCAUCGAGAUAUGCCAAUUCUUCAUGUUUUUAAAAUAAUUUUGUUUCAACUUUUUUUUUAAAUAAUCAAUUUAAUCGAUCUUUCUAUAGGAAUAGUACAAAUUUUAUUUUGAAAAAUUGAAAAAACUGAAGAAAUAAUUAAUAAGCACAGAUCUCUUUGGGCUUGAAAAAUACAAAACAAUUGGUAACAUUGGUAACAAGGAAAAAAUUUUCCUUUUAAAUUUUCAUGAAUUAAUUGAUGUUGUAGUAGUCUGUAUAGUAUAUUGGUAGUCUGAUCAGAUUCGAGCAAUUAGUAUACUCCUUUCACAUCCAAGCAAAUGCCAGACAAAGAUUUGAAUCAUUAUAAAUGAUUAACGAUUAAAGACAUGUUAUUCAUUUCUGUAUUCGUUACAUUUUAUUCUUAAUUUUUAGAAGAUUUAUUGAAGGAAUGAUACAAGAGAAAUUUUCCAAUUGUAAAUUGUUUGAAGAUCAUUCAACCAUAUAAGAAUUAUCAAGAAUUAUCAAUUAUUAUCAAUGUUUUUAUCUAACAAUUUCAUGUUUUCGAGUUCUGCCACCCAGCGAAGAGGAAUCGUAAAAGCAACAACGUGAUUGCGCCGUAUCUUAUCGCUUUCUCUAAAUUCAGCAAAGAUUACCACCACGUAAUUGCGUCGAUUGAAAGAUAAGAGAACUUUAUUUUUUUCAAAACGAUAUUUUUUUCUGUUGACUUAUGAUGAUGGAAUACGUGAUAACAAGUUGAGUAAAGCUCCGUUGGAUUCCACUCAAUACCUGAUGCAAACAUCGUUAUGCAGUGGACAUGAAUCCGUGAGAAAAACAAAUUAUUUAAGAAGUGAAAAUGGAUAAAUACUCUCGAAUAUUUUGUUUGGAUAUUAAAAGAGUUUUAAAAACUUUUUAUUAAUGGAAAAUAGGGAGUUUUAUUCUCAAUUCUGAUUGAUCGAAAGACUUGGAGCUUUGUUGUCAAGAUUGCAAAAAUAUCACGAUGCUAUACGUGACGAAUAUAGAUCGAUUCGACGCACGAUCGGAAUGUGUCACGAUCAAUAAACUCAAUUAAGAGGAGGCGAAGAAGAUCGAUGCCUCCAAGUCACGUGGAGAGCACAAGUAUCGAGAGGUAGAAUUCGAAGAGCGAUGUAUCAUAGACUUUAUGUUUGCUUAAAAAUUGGCAAAAAUCGAAAGAUAUUUCGUACGAUAAGGAAUCUGACAGAGAUUUUUCGAUUGUUUGAAAAUUAAUUCCACGAGCCAUUCUCUAAAUUGAAUAUUAUCAUUUUUCAUUCAACAGAUACACACAGAUAAGAGAUAUCUUUAUUUCCGUCACAUUGUCGCCUCACUCUGCCUCCAUCUAGCUUCAUCCAACGAAAACUUCCAACUUAAUAAAUAAUCCUCGUUCAAAACUUCUCUCUUAUCUAUUAUAUUUACACAAUUUGCCCUCCAGAAUUAAUUUUUCCCAAAAAUAUCUCACGAACGUCAAUCAUCCUCCACAUUCAAUAUAUAUAUAUCAAUAUAAAAAAAAUUAAAUUUUCUUCGUAAUUAAAUUUCUUUCUCUCUCGUUACGCAACAAGGAAAGAUGCUUCGCGCGCAACAUAGAGGGCUCCACCGUCCACAAGAAGAAGAAGAAGAAGAAUAAGAAGAAGCCCCCGCGGCGGGAGGUUUUAAUCUUCAAUUCCGAAAAUCAACGUAAUGUAUUCCUCCCCUCGGCCUGUUCCCGACUUAGAACAGGAGGGGGAAGCAGAGGAGGGGGGACGAGCGCAACCUGUAAUUUCAACGCGAGCGGACUAAGUCGUCUGGUAAUAUGGGAACCCAGAGCUGGUAUAACGGCUCAUUUCCAUAAUUCGUUCUUUAAGCAUCAUUUUUAAUAGGCCCCUGGCGCCGAGCCGAGAAGGCUUUCACUUCUCCCUCCAGCCGUGUCUCCCCCUCCUCUCCGCAAACCACAGAUUCGUCGGCCGCUAAAGACCCCCACGGUGACUUCCUUCACUUCAAUUUCCGUCGCCCUUUAUUCCCGUUGACCUCGAUGACAUCUUCAUUCCCUGCUUGUUUCGCAGGCACCGCACCUUCACUAGGAAGUAGUAAAAGAUUCUCUGGCGUCGUAACGAUGCGAUCGGUUAACGGUGCCUCGCCGACGAUACGUUUCCUCGCCAUUUCCAGCCUUUCCAAUCGCUUCGAAUCGACCCAAUGGAAAUUAAACGAUCCAUCAAUUGUUGGAUAAUCGAAGGAAAUAUUUAUAAGAUGUACUCCGUUGAAAUGCUCCAAAUUAUUAAAUGUUUAUAUAUUUCCUAGUAGAGUAUUUUAGAGAAUUAUCGUGAGGUUGGCGAUCCGGGGGAGGGCGAAAGUUUUACCUUGUCCGAGGGAACCUGAUGGGACCCCUUGGAUGGUUCACGAGGUCAAAAAUAAACAGGCGAAGUUUUACUUUCCUCAAACACGUUUCGUGAAGGCCCCUCCCCUCAGUGGCGUGGAUGGCACAUCGAGCAACGGAACGUCCUUCGGAACGUUUCUCGAUUUCUGGAAGGGGGGCGUGUUGGAGAGAAGUGUGGAGCAGUGUGGACCAUAGGGGGUCGGCUCCUCUUACCAAGCCAUCCCCCUCGUUACAAGCAUAGAGCUUGGUGGACGCUUGUGGCGAUUCACGUGGGACGGCGCGAUGCAAGACACCGUGGCAUACCACACACAACGCGACACCUCGGCUCCUCGGAGUUGACCGAGGACUCCACGAGGACCACACACGAAGGAUCGCCCUUCCCCGCAGCUUUUUCUCUCUCUUCCGUCCACGCUCGCUCUCCCCCCGCUGCUUCCUUCUUUCGCGCGAAACUUGAAGGAAAAAGAGGAAAGAAAAAAGGGAAGAAGAAGAAAAAGAGGAGAGAAAAAGCCAGCAGCGGCAGCAGCAGGAUGGAGGGAGAAGGAUGGAGAAAAGGGAGGGAGGAGGAGGAGAUCGUCUGAAAACCGAGAGGAGUCACUUAACCACUUUGCCAUUAAACGCAACCGGGAAGUAGAAGUAUAAAGGCGCGAUACGCUCGCGAGCCGGCUCGUUACGAAAUCGCUCUUGUGACAUUGGCCUGCGACCGGAAGCGAGGAUCUUCUUUUUUUUUCUUUUCAGAAAAAAAUUAAUUAAGAUCGCUAAAGAGGGUUGCUUGUUUUGUUGCUUAAAAACACUUGAUCAUUUCUCGAUUGAUUUUUGAAGAAUAGAAGAAUGGAAAAUUCAAUAUAUGUAUUUGGAAAUUGAAUUAAUUUUUUCAUAUUUCUUUUUUUCAUAACGAAAGAGAGUUGCUUGUUUCGUUGCUUGAAAACACUUGAUCAUUUCUCGAUUGAUUUUUGAAGAAUAGAAGAAUGGAAAAUUCAAUAUAUGUAUUUGGAAAUUGAAUUAAUUUUUUCAUAUUUCUUUUUUUCAUAACGAAAGAGAGUUGCUUGUUUCGUUGCUUGAAAACACUUGAUCAUUUCUCGAUUGAUUUUUGAAGAAUGGAAGAAUGGAAGAUUCAAUAUAUGUAUUUGAAAAUUGAAUUAAUUUUUUCAUAAAUAUAAAUAGUUGAUGCAAUAGAAAAAUACAAGUCACUUCUUGUUAUUUAAUUAUUAAUUUGUGUCGAGAAAAAGCAAGUCCUUUUGAAUUUGGGAAUAAUUCCAAUUUGAGAAAUAAUUCUAUUUAAAACUGAAUCGAUCUUUUCUCAAUGCUCUUGAUUUCGAAUUUCGUGAUUCUCGACUCACGAAGGAGGAAGGGUUAAACACGGGGAGAUUCGAGAAAAGAAGGUUUGGCCGAUUCGAGCCGGGUCAAGCGAUCCACUAAUUCUCUUAACAGAUGGUACGCGUAACCCGUUGCACGCACAGCAUCUCUCAACACUCGACAUCUUCUCGAGGCCCGUGGGGCCGUGGCUCGUGAAACUUUUCUUCGAAUCGCGAUUCCUAAAUACCCGUGCUGGCAAAACACUGGGCCGGAUAAAUGGAGUUUCAAUUUUCAACAUCCAUCACGAGAAGGAAGAAGGGACGAUGGUGUUCCUUCGAAGAGCGGAAAAUCGAACAAUAUAUUGUAUGAUCGUAAGCUUUUCUUCGAACAAUUCCUAAAUACCACGAUAUUGGCAAAACAGUGUCGAUAGGUGGUAGGGAAUUGGAAUGCAAGAGUAUAAGAAUCAAGGGGACAAGGAGAAGAAGAAGAAGAAGUGGAAGAAGAGGCUGAAAGGCUGAGAAGAGAUUUAUGCGGGUUGAAAAGGUCGCCAGCUAGCAGAGGCUUUCCCGAUGGGGGGUUUCCCGCAUUGUUGCUAAUUGCACGUCUCCGUGGUUGAAACGCCGUCCUGGUGGUCCAUUAUUCGACGAGACUAUGGAGAGAGGUUUGGCAGGCGUAGACGAGACAUUCGCUAUCAUCUACACCACCAAGGUCACUCGUAAACACAAUGGGGCUUUUCUCUCGGCAUGGAACUCGUUUUUGCGGGAUCUGGAAAAUGGGUAAGGUCGAAAAUGUGGAAGGAAAACACGUUAUUGUUCGAUUUACGGUAUUCCAUUUUAUACCGAACCAUUAUACCCGGCAGGUAUGUAUACAUAAAGCAGUUUUAUCGCGAUGAUAAUUUGGUUUGAAAAAUUUAGCAUGGAUUUUGUUCCUUUUUGCUCCAUUAAGUCGUCCUGCAAAUUGUUAUCUUAUUAUUGUAUUGAAAAGUCAUUGUAAUCUUCACAUAAAUCAAGAUCUUAACGCCUACUUUAUCUUGUAUCUUAUGUUCAUUUCAAAAAUUUCAUUUCAACAAUUCUUGUAUCUUAUCAAUCAUCAGGAAAGCGAUAGAUUAUUAAUAAUAUCUAUCCAAUAGAUUAAUGGUUAUUUAUUCUAAGAAAUGAAGUUUUUAAAAAAUAAUUAAAUAUUUCCAAUACAAAGUCACUUUUCCAAUUACUUUUUCAGCUAAAAAUUAACAACAAAUUAGAUGAAAUCAUAUAUCGACAACAUACAACGAUAACAACCGUGCGUUGAAAGAAGAUUAGAAGAUUUGCCAAUGCGAAUUGAAAUCUCUUCAUCGAUUUGUUGCUAAAAUACAGGAAACGGGAAGGUCGUAAUUGGAACUAAACUCAUUGUCCGUCUGGCCCACGAAGGCCACCGCAUUUAAGUAUAGAUCAAUGCACAGACGACUCGCAAAAAAGUUGCUGGAACGCAGGAUGCGCCGAGUGCAAUCAAAGUUACGAAUCCGGCCAGUGGAGCUACAAUGAUACGAUUCGAAUGGCGAAUUUUAUUAACCGAUUCCGGAAUGGGGAGAGAAACCGACAAAAAGAAAAUAUCGUUGGAACACGAACAAUGCAGAACAAAGAUAUAUAUAUGUAUAUAUGCACGCGGAUUGCGCAGGUGGAACGAGAGAGGCCAUCGACAUCGAUGACUCAAUAAUUCAAAAUUCACCUCGAUAAUUAUUCUGCGACGAUUUUUCCAAUUUAAAGGAAGAUUUCGAUGCAAUACUUACAUUCUCUCUCUCUCUCUUUCUUCAUCCAAGAAUUAAAUUUUAAUUGAAUCAAACUCGAUAUCCAAAAAAAUAUGCUUGAUCGAGAUUUCGAAAGUUUUAAAAAUUCAGACUCAUUUCCAAGACGUAUCUCUGGAAAAGGAGAAACAAGGUAUACGCGUAGGCAGCACCCUCCCCACUUUUCCCCACCUCUCCCCCAUUAUUAAAACGGGGGAAGACCGCGAGCAGGAUCCCCGAUGCUGCUCCCCUGACAAAAGGAAACCGUUAAAAAGCAUCGUCACUCGGCUCACGAAUUCUGAGCGCAGCACCGGUUACUCACAAGUUGGUGGAUUCCCACGUGGGACGUCGAAGGAUGCGGGCCGAAAAUAUGCAAAUUUAUAUUCGUAUCCCGGGACACGAUUCCUCAUCCUGCUUGACUGGCUGCCCGGUUUACUCACUUGCACGAACCACCACCACCACCAACCUUCCUUGUCUCUCUCUUUCUCUCUCUCUCUUUCCAGUCAUUACCAUACGUGACCAUAAAUGAAACCUGUCUCCUCUAUUCCCCCGUAACAAUGGAACAAUCACGGUGAGGCACAAAAGGGGGGAGGGGGACACAGCGCCUAUGCUAUCCUCUACGUGGACAUACAUAUGCAUCUUCUCUGCCUGGGGCCAAGUUUUCUUCGAUUCCCAUCCACGUGCCCCGUUAUAUCCUUCCCCGGGAGGAGAGGAAAGGAGAGGAGAGGAGAAAUUCACUGGCAACGGUCCUGCGACAGGAUACCGGUUCAUCCUGUAUCCCGUGCCGGGACGAUUCGUCCUGCGACCAGGACACGUGAAACGUCCUUUUGUCUAGGCUGAGAGAUUAAGCCGCGUGAAACUGACUCCAGAAAGGACGGAUAUAACGGUUUGUAAGGGGGCUAACUUCUUGGACGAUCGCUUUCUUCUGUGAAAAAUAUCUCUCUCUCUCUCUCUCUCUCUUUCUUCUUGUUAACGGUCAAGGGGACGGUUUAUCAAGGACCAGUUGGAAAAGUACGUUGAGCCAUAUUUUUUGAUGGACGUUUCUUUUUUCUUAAGGAUAAACGAGCAACGGAUGAGAGAAUAAAUUUAUCAAGAAUACAGAGAGGGAAAAAGAUAGGAUAAAAUUGGAUAUAAGCAACGUUUGGUGAAUUAAUAUAAAGAUGGAGGACAAAGGAUAUUUUCCACUCUAUCUAAAUCUAAUUUCCACAUAUUGUCCAUAUACGUAUCUUAAAGUUACAAGGAGCAAUAACACGCCUACGUCGUCAUCACAGUGAUGGAAAGUUCCUAGGUCCUUUUUUCACUCUGUUCAACGACAUCUCCCCUUUCGAGAAUUUAUCUUCAGGGACGAUAUCUCUACCUACGCAACCUACCUACGAUCGCGAGCGUGUUCUCACGUGUUCACAGAGCGUGCAGGUGUCGAAACCGAGAUAAUUCUCGAACCGGUGGCUUCCGGUGCACGCGGAAAACGUACGUUACAUCCUGAACCCCGCCUAGUAGUUUUCCUCGAUCUCGAUCCACAGAAUACGCGAGAUCCAGCGCACACUCCCACACGCACGCACGCACGCACGCACCUUUCCACAGGCCGAAUUUUACGCAAUCCCAUUGGGGAUCCCUUGGGCGUAUUGUUGCAUCCAUGCACCGAAUCGGGCUCCUCCGUACCUGACCUGGAGAUAAUCCCAUCCUGGGGAGUAUUGGGGGCAUUGGAACCUGGCUACCUCUCCCCCUUCCCCCCCACGGACUCGAAAAUACCCUUACUAUAGGGGUCCACCCAUCUUUCUCCACGGCGCAUCACACAGAUUUCUCCUCCUUUCAUAUUUCUCUUCCGUGCGUUAUUGUCGCGGCAAAAUCUCGCCGCGGUGACCUUUGUCACCCCCUAUUUUUCUCGCGACAACGAAGAAGGAGGGAUUGGAAGAUCGUCGUUCUUAUUGAAUUUCUGGGGAAUAUAUGGGGUAUUGGGUUCAGGUAUUGGACGGAAAGAGAGCGGCUGUUUUGGAAUUUUGGUUAAACGAAAAAAAGAUUUAAAAAACGAACGAUCGUGUGUAUAACGAAAUAUUGAUAAGGAUUGUUUAAAAAUUGUUUUUAAUGGAAUCGUGUAUUUUUUUCAUAUAUUUUCUGCCACCUAACGAUAUUGAUGUCGCACGAAACGAUGCACGUGACCAUUCAUCAAUCAUAAUAAAAUAAUAAUAUCGAGAAGAUAAUUUUACAACAGCUGUAUAAAAAAAACUUUUAGUCCCUAGUGGAGGACUUCUCUGAAGAUAAAAUUAUUAUAUUCUAAAGUAUAAUCGUCAAAAAUAAAUUAAAAAU